rnacentral:ncRNA from 1 species
AUAAAUUCGAUGACAAAGACAGUAACAUAAGUCUAAUUUAUAGAGAGCUUAGGAUGGUGGAAGCUGAGCAAUGAAGCUUAUUGUGAAGAGAACUUUUGAGAAUGUUUCUUGAAUAGAGUAUGGAAACAGGUAAUCUUGCCUUAAAAGAGUAAAGUGGAUAAGUUUCUUAUCAAUAAGAGUGGUAACGCGGUAUAUUCGUCUCUUGG